rnacentral:rRNA from 1 species
GCAGUAGCCGCGGUAAUACGCAGGGGGCUAGAGUUGCUCGGAAUUACUGGGCAUAAAGGGAGCGUAGGCGGGUCGUUUAGUCAGAGGUGAAAUCCCGGGGCUCAACCUCGGAACUGCCUUUGAUACUGGCGACCUUGAGUAUGGGAGAGGUAAGCGGAACUCCGAGUGUAGAGGUGAAAUUCGUAGAUAUUCGGAAGAACACCAGUGGCGAAGGCGGCUUACUGGCCCAUUACUGACGCUGAGGCUCGAAAGCGUGGGGAGCAAACAGGAUUAGAUACCCGCGUAGUCCCUGUCUCUUAUAC